AUCCUGACGGAGACAAGACACUCAAAAAGUACUGUAGUUUCAAGGAGAAUUAGAAUCCUGAGCAAAGAGUCUGAGCAAAUAAGUGGAACAGCUAAAAUGGGGAGUAAAAAUGGACGUGAAACUGAACGAGCAGAGACGGAGCGCAACAAAGCUCAAGCAGAGAAACAAGCAAUUCAGGAAAAAUUUAACAGAUUACAAAGAGAAAAAGGUUUGGAGAAACAAGCAAUUCAGGAAAAAUUUAACAGAUUGCAAAGAGAAAAAGGUUUGGAGAAACAAGAAAUUCAGGAGAAAUUUAACAGAUUGCAAAGAGAAAAAGGUUUGGAGAAACAAGAAAUUCAGGAGAAAUUUAACAGAUUACAAAGAGAAAAAGGUUUGGAGAAACAAGCAAUUCAGGAAAAAUUUAACAGAUUACAAAGAGAAAAAGGUUUGGAGAAACAAGCAAUUCAGGAAAAAUUUAACAGAUUGCAAAGAGAAAAAGGUUUGGAGAAACAAGAAAUUCAGGAGAAAUUUAACAGAUUACAAAGAGAAAAAGGUUUGGAGAAACAAGCAAUUCAGGAAAAAUUUAACAGAUUAUAAAGAGAAAAAGAUUUUGAGAAAAUGAAAGAAGAUAAGAAGAAAAUGGACACGGAGAACAGAGCUAAAGAACAAGAGGAAAAGAAAAGAAUUCACCAAGAUUAUCAAAACUCACAAAAAGAAAACACAAUAAACUAAUACUACAACUAAAAGUUCUUAUGUAUUAUCAUUUAUUUUAUUUUAUUUUGUAAUAAUGGGAGACUCUAUCCAUCAUAAAGUACAAUUGUAUUAAUAAAAUGCUUAAUGACAUAUUGUAGCAUUCUUGUUCAUGAAAGUGAUGUAUAUGUAAAUAUGUGACCAAAUGAUGUAAAUAAAUGACCAAAAUCAUGUACUAAUUUUCUAUAUGCUUCCGAAACCUCCUGAU